UCGCCUACGGGGCGCAGCAGUGGGGAAUAUUGCGCAAUGGACGAAAGUCUGACGCAGCGACGCCGCGUGAGGGAUGAAGGUUUUCGGAUCGUAAACCUCUGUCAGGAGGGAAGAAAGCGCAUGGCGCCAAUCAGCCAUGCGUUGACGGUACCUCCAAAGGAAGCGCCGGCUAACUCCGUGCCAGCAGCCGCGGUAAUACGGAGGGCGCGAGCGUUAAUCGGAAUUACUGGGUGUAAAGGGAGCGCAGGCGGGAAGCCAAG
rnacentral:rRNA from 1 species